GAUGAACGCUGGCGGCGUGCCUAAUACAUGCAAGUCGAGCGAACAGAUGAGGAGCUUGCUCCUCUGACGUUAGCGGCGGACGGGUGAGUAACACGUGGAUAACCUACCUAUAAGACUGGGAUAACUUCGGGAAACCGGAGCUAAUACCGGAUAAUAUAUUGAACCGCAUGGUUCAAUAGUGAAAGACGGUUUUGCUGUCACUUAUAGAUGGAUCCGCGCCGCAUUAGCUAGUUGGUAAGGUAACGGCUUACCAAGGCAACGAUGCGUAGCCGACCUGAGAGGGGUGUCCGCCACACCGGAACUGGAGAAAGGUCCAGAAUCCUAAGGGAGGCAGCAGUAGGGAAUCUUCCGCAAUGGGCGAAAGCUUGACGGAGCAACGCCGCGUGAGUGAUGAAGGUCUUCGGAUCGUAAAACUCUGUUAUUAGGGAAGAACAAAUGUGUAAGUAACUAUGCACGUCUUGACGGUACCUAAUCAGAAAGCCACGGCUAACUACGUG
rnacentral:rRNA from 1 species